AUCCUGAAAUAUUUUCAACCCAGACCCCAGGGGUGGAGAAGCUGGGAUGGGACCACUCAGCCAGCACCAAGCUCCUUCUCCACCCUCCCAAAAAGUUCUUCCUGGACCUCAUCGGGCCAGAUUGAGUCACCCAAGUGCCGUGACAUCAGCGGUGGUUUUGCGAGCGAGCAGCCGCGUUUCCUGUGGCUCCUGUAGACACAGACACGCAGGGAGAGAUGUGAGCUCUCAGCUCCUGCUCCUUCCUCCCCCCAGGAUCGCUUCCCUCAGCCCUCUCCUCUCUUCCCCAGCGCCAGCGGCCAGGGCCGGCGGCGGAGCUGGAGAGCUGGAUCCCGCUGAGAGGAUGAAAACAUGGGGCUCAGGUUAUCCUGCCUGAAAGGCCUGAAGAUGUGUGUGAGCAGCGGGAACGGCAGCGAGGGGACCUCGAGGGCGGGACAGAAGCACCUGCACGUGCCCUCCAUCAUCGUCACACCUCCCACGCCCACGGGCACCGCGCUGGCCCGGCGUGGGGAGGGCCCCUCACCCUGCAGCCCGUGCUGAGAGGGGACACGGGGGACACCCGGCCCGGCAGGACCUGUCCCCACUCCGUCGGGAUGGAGCCACAGCCCCCAGGGCACGGCUGCAGCUGCCAGGGACACGCGGGGCACCCACGCGGGUGGGUGUGGACACCAGGGACUGGGGUUUGUCCCUUUUCCUGACAGCGCCGGGGAGGGGGGAUCCCCCCACGGUGAAUAAAACCUCUGGGGCUCCGCA